rnacentral:rRNA from 2 species
UUGAAAGGGAAACGAUUGAAGUCAGUCGUACCUGCGGGUAAUCAGCCUUUUGGGCAUGAUUCUGUGGAGCGUGAGGAGUUAAACGCCUUCAUGCCUGCAUAUUCGUGUACUUUGGGUGUACUUGCCUGUGUGGUUAGUUAACAUCAAUUUUGGUUAUCAUAAAAUGGUUGGAGGAAUGUAGCUUCGAUUUCGAUUGAAGUGUUAUAGCCUUCGGCAGAUGUGAUGAUCGGGAUUGAGGAUUGCAACGGAUACCCUUCGGGGCUACCUGUCUGAUCUCUGGUCGUUGCUCUGGUGCCGAAAGCGUGCUUACGGUUAUCAAAGUCGAUGGUCAAUAGGUUAGAAUGGGUUAAAUUCGUUAAGGAUGUUGACGUA